CUCUGCGCAGGCGCGGCGGGCGCUUCGCGAGCGGCGGUUCCCGCCGCCUUCCCAGGCGGACUUUGUCCUCGGAACUGCCGAAGCGGCCUCUCCCCGCUUGGGCGGGCUCCCCGGGUCCGCACGAACGUGCUUGGAGCCUGCAGUGCCGAAGCGAGGGGGUUCCAGAAGCCCUGCGUCUGAUCAAGGGCCUGAUCAAGCAUCUGAGGCGGAAGGAAGGAGGAUGCAGGCAUCCCCCCGGGGCUCAGGGCUGGGGGGCGGGGGGGAGGCUUGUUCUCGGGCUUCAGGGAGUCCGAAAACCGCGCUGACUUCGUUCAUUACUUAAGAUCCGAGUGUUCGACAGAGAUUCCAUUUAACACAUAUGCUGUGAAUGACAGCUGUGCAGGAAGUUAAUAUGUCCAAGGCUGGAUGAUGACAAUGAGGAUGAUGAUGGUCAUAAAGGUUUUAGCAUUCAAACUCUGGAAAUGCUUAAGUGCAUGUAAUGUAGCAACUUCUACCAAAAUAUCUGUGGCUAUGAGCUCCUGGCCGGAAUUGCUUCAUCAGGAUUCUUCUCAAGAUGGAGUUUCACCUACAGCUGCCUCCUCCCAAGUGUAGGGUUCCAUCAGCUCUAACACGCGGAGAGGAAUGCACUUGUAUUUCAUCACUUUCCCAAAAUAUACACAAGUAAAAGGAUACAGGAACCAAAAGAACAAACCAGCUUUUUCCAACAGCAGUACUGAACUUGGUAAUUUGCUUCCUGGCUCUGUAUGCUCUGACUAAACACGGCUUCUGUUUCGACUUGUUAAGAUACUAGCAAAAGCUGUGUCAGGACAAGCUUCCAAGGGAUGAUGUAGAAAGAAUAUUCAACUGUCAGGUUGCUGAGCGGACAAGAAGUUGAGAACCAACAACUGACUCAGCAUGUUAGUUGGGUGGUUUGCUUACUUGAGCAUGAGGCCAGGAAGCUCAAACCAGGUUACAAACUAUAAUGUGACUCACAGUUAGCAAUCUAGUUAGCCAUUCAGUUGCACGUAAAAAUGAACAAGAAAGCAUUGUACGAUGAUUUUAUUCAUUGGUCAAUAAUUAUUAUUUUUUACCAGUAAUAUUGCUAAAGAAAACAGAGAGAUGGGCAUCUGGCUAGGUCAAUCAGUUGAACAUGAGACUCUUGGACAUAGAGUGGUGAGUUCAAGCCCCAUGUUGGGCACAGAGCUUACUUAAAAAGGAAGAAAGAAAAACAAAAUUAAAAAAAUAUAUAUAGAAGGAAAAGAGAUUUGCUAAUAUUCAUUGUGCUUUUAUUUUUUCGUAUUUUAAAGAUUGUGUUUAUUUUUUCAUGAGAGACAUAGAGAGAGAGGCAGAGACACAAGCAGGCUCUAUGCAGGGAGUCUGAUGUGGGACUUGAUCCUGGGUCUCCAGGAUCAAAAGCCUCGCAGCUUUUGAUUUUUAGGCAAAUUACUUACUGUCUCUAUGCCUCAGUAUUACAGCUGUAACAUAAAACCUAUCCUAUGUGGUCCUUGGGGAGCUUAGAAAGUAUCUGGUAGUCGUAAACAAUUUGAUUUUGCCCACCGAAGACAUUGUACUGUUGAUAGGCUUUAUCUUUCAUAAUUGAGCCAGAUUUUGUGCAGUCACUUCUCAAUCCAAUCUGAUAUCUAAAGGCCAUGAAAAAUACGUAUAUAUGUAAAAGAAAUAAUUUAACACUAUAAUCCUUUAAACUUAAUGCCACUUAGCAUCAUUUUAAAAGCACAAGGAAGGGCAGCCCAGGUGGCUCAGCGGUUUAGCACCUGCCUUCAGCCCAGGGCGUGACCCCCGAGGUCCUGGGAUGGAGUCCUGCAUCGAGCUCCCCGCAGGGAGCCUGCUUCUCCCUCUCUCUCUCUCUCUCUGUCUCUCAUGAAUGAAUAAAUAAAAUCCUUAAAAAAAAAAAAUAAACUCGCCUCUUGGAACCUUGUUCUCUACAGCUCGGGGCCUCGGGACUGGGGGAGGCUGCCAGGUGGGCUACUGAGGAUCAGCAGAGCUGGGCUCAGAAGACCCCAAUCUGAACCCCACCUCCCCUGGCUGUGGGAUCCUAAGCCUGAGCAGGUCAGGGCACUUCCGAAAUACGAAGAAUUCUCUUUUCCUCGCAGCCUCGGGAAGCUUCGCUAGGAUAGUGCGUGUGAACAGGCUUCCGGAACUGAGGUCUUUCCAAAUAGACGGUAUGUCCCCUUGCACGAGCCAGUUGCCUUCUUGGAGCUUUAUCUGUAACCUGAGGAUAGUAAGGCCUGUCAAGCGGUCGUUAUGAAGGUGAAAGGAAAUGAUGCACAGAAACCAGUAGGAUGCAUAACACACAGCGUUUGGAACACAGAAUUAAAAGUCCUAGUUGUUGCUCGACGCUUCUUUUUCAGUUUUCUGGCUCAUGUUGCAAGAUUUUCCUAAAUCUGGGCAGCCGGGGGGCGGGGGGCUCAGCGGUUUAGCUCCGCCUUCAGCCCAGGGCGUGACCCUGGAGACUCGGGAUCGAGUCCCACAUCGGGCUCCCUGCAGGGAGUCUGCCUCUCCCUCUCUCUG